rnacentral:rRNA from 1 species
UUGACCUCAAAUCAGGUAGGACUACCCGCUGAACUUAAGCAUAUCAAUAAGCGGAGGAAAAGAAACUAACAAGGAUUCCCUUAGUAACUGCGAGUGAAGAGGGAAAAGCUCAAAUUUAAAAUCUGGCAGUGUUUCA